UACGUAGGGUGCGAGCGUUAAUCGGAAUUACUGGGCGUAAAGCGUGCGUAGGCGGUUCGUUAAGUUCGUUGUGAAAGCCCCGGGCUCAACCUGGGAAUGGCAAUGGAAACUGGCGGGCUGGAGUAUGGCAGAGGGGGGUGGAAUUCCGCGUGUAGCAGUGAAAUGCGUAGAUAUUGGGAAGAACACCGGUGGCGAAGGCGGCGACCUGGUCCAUUACUGACGCUGAGGCGCGACAGCGUGGGGAGCAAACAGG
rnacentral:rRNA from 1 species